rnacentral:rRNA from 1 species
ACGCUCGACACCUACGGGAGGCAGCAGUGGGGGAUAUUGCACAAUGGGGGGAACCCUGAUGCAGCGACGCCGCGUGAGGGAAGAAGGUUUUCGGAUUGUAAACCUCUGUCCUCAGGGAAGAAGAUGACGGUACCUGAGGAGGAAGCCACGGCUAACUACGUGUCAGCAGCCGCGGUAAUCUGAGCGGGCUGGCAAGGC